CUAUUGACAUCAGGUGCCCAGGUUCUAGCUCUGAGCCCAGGGGAGAUUAAUACUGUGUCUUUCCUAUAGAGAAAUCACAGAGUUGCAAAUCCUCCCUGCUCAGCUUCAUCAGCACUUAAUACCAUUUGCUCGAGCUCCUGGGUGAGAGCUACAAAACUAGUCCCUGAGCCCAGCGGGAGGAUCCACUAGUCCACACCCUCGACCUCUGUCAGCCUCUUCAGCCCCUUCUCGCUUGAGGAGAAUGUGAUCGUUGUUACAGGCAUCAGAAAAA
rnacentral:lncRNA from 1 species